rnacentral:rRNA from 1 species
UACGGGGGGGGCAAGCGUUGUUCGGAAUUACUGGGCGUAAAGGGCUCGUAGGCGGCCAACUAAGUCAAACGUGAAAUCCCUCGGCUUAACCGGGGAACUGCGCUUGAUACUGGAUGGCUUGAGAUUGGGAGAGGGAUGCGGAAUUCCAGGUGUAGCGGUGAAAUGCGUAGAUAUCUGGAGGAACACCGGUGGCGAAGGCGGCAUCCUGGACCAACACUGACGCUGAGUGAGCGAAAGCCAGGGGAGCGAACGGG